rnacentral:lncRNA from 1 species
CAUUUCAGUGUUUACUGCUUCGAGAGAAGACGGUGUAGUCGGAGGUGAUUAGAGGUUUAGCAUUGAUCGUGGACUUCGUCAGAUAAAAUACUGGAACCUUCUCAUUUUAUGGAUUGAUUACAACAGUUUUGAUUGAAAAGGACUACGGCAUCUAUACCUCUGGAUUUAUAAUGUCUGUUCUUCUGAGCAGCAGUCGAGGAGGCCCAUGGCAAACGCUGGUUCUUAUUCUUUGUCUUUUCAAGCUGAGCUCAGUGAGGGGACAGGCUCGAUACUCUGUACCGGAGGAGCAGACAGAAGGCUCGUUUGUCGGAAACAUAGCUCGAGAUUUAGGUUUGGAUGUGGGGAGGCUCAUAUCAGGUAAAGCUCGUAUCAUUACUAAAGGAAGCCGGCAGUACGUUGAUUUAAAUCGGGACAAAGGCGUGCUUGUUAUUAAAGAGCGCAUCGACCGAGAGGAUCUGUGUGGUAAGACGACGCCCUGUAGCUUCAGCUUCGAAGUGAUUUUAGAAAACCCAAUCCAGCUUUAUCGAGUAACAGUGGAGGUAGUGGACAUAAACGACAACAGCCCGUCAUUCCCAAAAGAGGAGAUCAAUCUGAAAAUUGUUGAAAAUGCUGCAGCAGGUACUCGCUUUUCACUCGAGAGUGCAUUUGACGCCGAUGUCGGUAUUAAUGAUAUUCAAAAAUACACUCUAAAACCAUCAGAUCAUUUUAAAUUGGAGGUCCAGAACCAGCCUGAUGGAGAAAGAUUCAUCGAAAUGGUUUUACAAAACCCGUUAGACCGAGAGAAAGAGGAGACUCACACGCUCGUGCUGCUUGCCUCAGAUGGAGGAGAGCCUCGUAGAUCAGGGACAGUGCGUAUUCGUAUCACUGUGCUUGAUGCUAAUGACAAUGCACCAGUUUGUAGCCAACCUGUCUAUAAAGCAGAGGUCAGGGAGAAUUCUCCUCAAGGAACAGUGGUGACCACAGUGAGUGCUAAUGACGCAGACAAAGGCGUAAAUGGAGAAGUGGCUUACUCCAUCGCUCAUGUGGCCAGAGAGGCGAGGCCACUUUUUGAGGUAAACGCAAAAACCGGAGAGGUAAGAGUAGCAGGUAAAUUGGAUUUUGAGAAAUCUAAGACAUAUCAGUUAAAAGUUCAGGCUAGUGACCACGGGGGAUAUACAGACACGUGCAAAGUUAUAAUUCAGAUUAUUGACGAAAAUGACAACGUGCCCACAAUCCAGCUGAUGUCAUUUUCUAACUCGAUAUCCGAGGACUCUCCUCCAGGUACAACUCUAGCUGUGAUUAAUGUAGAUGACGAAGACUCUGAAGGUAACGGUGUUGUCAGGUGCUCCAUUAACUCAGACGUUCCUUUCAAAAUUGAGUCUUCAUUAACAGGAUAUUACACAAUAAUCACGGAAGACUUCUUGGACAGGGAAAGUGUUCCUGAGUAUAAUAUCACUAUCAUCGUCUGUGACCAAGGCUCUCCGCCUUUGUCCAGUAGUACUGUCAUUAAUGUGAUAGUUUCUGACGUGAACGACAGCCCACCCAAAUUUUCACAAACAGAGUAUAGUAAGACUGUCCAAGAGAACAACUCUCCUGGAGUUUCUGUGUUUACUCUCAGUGCUAGUGAUGCAGACUGGGGUCAAAACUCUCGUGUUUCUUAUUUCCUGGAGGAGAAAGAAAUUCAUGGAGUCGCUGUGUCAUCCUUAGUGUCAGUGAAUUCAGAAAAUGGCGCCAUUCAUGCAGUGAGGUCAUUUGAUUAUGAGCAGAUCAAAUGGUUUGAAUUUAACGUAACUGCCCGUGAUGCUGGGUCUCCUCCUCUGAGUUCAGUGGCUAAGAUAAAAAUGGUGAUCCAGGACCAGAACGACAACCCUCCUCAGGUCCUGUACCCGGUCCAGACUGGUGGCUCUCUGGUGGCUGAGAUGGUGCCUCGUGCAGCAGAUGUGGGCUAUCUGGUGACUAAAGUGGUGGCUGUGGAUGUGGACUCUGGACAGAAUGCCUGGCUGUCGUAUAAACUGCAGAAAGCCACAGACAGGGCGCUGUUUGAAGUGGGCUUACAGAAUGGAGAAAUCCGAACUAUCCGCCAAGUGAGUGAUAAAGAUGCUGUGAAACAAAGACUGACUGUGAUAGUGGAGGACAACGGGCAGCCGUCUCGUUCAGCUACAGUCAUUGUGAACGUGGCGGUGGCGGACAGCUUCCCUGAAGUGCUGUCAGAGUUCACUGACUUUACACACGACAAGGAGUACAAUGACAACCUGACUUUUUACUUAGUGCUGGCUCUGGCUGUAGUGUCCUUCCUCUUCAUCACGUGUUUGGUGGUCAUUAUAUCCGUGAAAAUCUACAGAUGGAGACAGUCUCGUAUCCUGUAUCACUCCAGUCUUCCAGUGAUUCCCUAUUAUCCUCCACGUUACUCAGACACUCUGGGCACAGGGACUCUUCCACACGUGUACAAUUACGAGGUGUGCAGGACGACUGACUCGAGAAAGAGUGACUGUAAGUUCGGCAGAGCUGGUAGUCAGAACGUGCUGAUAAUGGACCCCAGUUCUACAGGGACCAUGCAGAGGAUACAGAGUGAGAAGAGCAUCCUGGACGAACCAGACUCUCCACUAGAGGUCAGUUCAUGUGUGACAUGCUGUGUGAGCCAACAUACAUUUAAUUUUUUUACCUUUUG